UUUCCGUAGGUGAACCUGCGGAAGGAUCAUUACCGAAUUUAGGUUCAACAGGCACUACCUACCUUACUGUGUUUCUGUUAGUUUCUUGCUUAGGCGGGCCCGGCUCGAUGAGCGUCCCCUGGAAGCCCGCCCCCUUCGCCGCGUGCCCGUCAUAAGCCCCCAUUAACUCUAAAUAAACCUUUCUUCUUAGCUAAAAAAAAAAAUUAAAAAAAACUUUCAACAACGGAUCUCUUGGUUCUGGCAACGAUGAAGAACGCAGAUGAUCGGAAGAGCCCACGU
rnacentral:misc_RNA from 1 species